CCUACGGGAGGCAGCAGUAGGGAAUAUUGCUCAAUGGGGGAAACCCUGAAGCAGCAACGCCGCGUGGAGGAUGAAGGUUUUCGGAUUGUAAACUCCUUUUGUUAGAGAAGAUAAUGACGGUAUCUAACGAAUAAGCACCGGCUAACUCCGUGCCAGCAGCCGCGGUAAUACGGAGGGUGCAAGCGUUACUCGGAAGCACUGGGCGUAAAGAGCGCGUAGGCGGGAUAGCAAGUCAGAUGUGAAAUCCUAGGGCUUAACCAUAGAACUGCAUUUGAAACUGUUAUUCUAGAGUAUGGGAGAGGUAGGUGGAAUUCUUGGUGUAGGGGUAAAAUCCGUAGAGAUCAAGAGGAAUACUCAUUGCGAAGGCGACCUGCUAGAACAUAACUGACGCUGAUGCGCGAAAGCGUGGGGAGCAAACAGGAUUAGAUACCCUUGUAGUC
rnacentral:rRNA from 1 species